AGCCAAAGGAGUGGUAUCCUUCUGGAUGGAGAUUGCAUUCUUCUUGAGCUGUUAUGGGAAGGGGCGCUUUAGGAGACAGCGAUGCACGAACCUUGGCUAACACUGAGAAAAACUGCUGUAUGGUGAACCACCCUGCUUCCUAACUGUGCCUCCCAUUCAAUGAUCAUCUAUGAAGCUAGCCAAGAGGCUGUGUCUAUGUGGGAUGGCUGUGAGCAAGUGUGAACCUUUCCCCUGAGGUCAGGAAGCUUUGAAUAAAGCCUUAGGCAAACAGGAGCUGCCUGUGACCACUGAUCACACCUCUGAGAAUGGAAAGGGCUCCCUCAAAAGCUGUCCCAGUGGGGACCAAAUCUCAGAGGAUCUUUGUCCCAUUUGGAUCUAGAGGCAAGAGGGUUGCAACGUGAUAUCUGUAACAAGACAGAAGUCAAAAAUGCAGAGAUCUGUGCAGGUUAGUACAUGAGAUGGCUCUGCAUGUGAAUUAUUCCUGUUCAGCAGCAGCUCUAACAGCUUUCUUUUGAUGCUUAAAGACAAAUGUAAUAAGAAGAUGAGCUGAAAAUGACGACUGCUGUCUCAAUAAGCUGCAGAAGCUCCACUAAUGUGGUUCAUUGGAACAUACUUUUUCCCUAUCUCUAAAACAGCUAUGGUUGCACUGAGCACCACAGCACCCUGAAUGCGUGCCUGUGUCUCCAGCAGGCUCAGCACCUUAGCAGUCUCCCCCAUGAGUAGACAGCGGCUGCUUCUUGAGAGUGUUUCACCGAAUGACAAAGCACGGGAUUGCAUAAUAUAUCUUCAGCAUGUCUCUGGGAAGGUCACUGAUAACCUGUGUUUCAGCCCAUUCCUCCUGCUGUUUGGAGUACACGUCUGCUGUGCACGCUGUAAAUGAGGAGCCCACUUUAUGCACGGAGAACAAGGGAUCUGAUGAAUGGCAAAGAGGCAUAAUUUAUAGGGAAGUAACCUGAGAAACAGCACUGAAAUCUUUUCACCCAUAAAUAAUGUGCCUUUUCACGUGAUUUUUGAAGAUCUGAGUCUUGUGGUGAAGCACGCUAUGUUGAAAUUCCUCCCUGUGUUACCUUGGUGGACUUCUCAUGGCAGAGGCAACCCAAGCUUUGCGAUGCCUUUGGAUGGAAAUGCAGAAUUGAAAUACAGAAGAGCAGCCCUUUGUUGAAAAUUGCUGCUCAAAACAGAAGAAAAAAUCCUGGGCUAAAGCAGAGGCCCUGUGGGACUUUCUGCCCUGAGCCUGCUUUGUCAGAGCUGAUGGCAGCAGCCUGGGUGCAUGGAAGGCCCAGAUCUCAUGCCCUCAGAGCCCUUUCCUUGGCUGUUUUUAUUAAUCUUCUCUUGUAAAGCUCCUCCUUGUUAUAAGCUCCAGCUCUGGCUUCUCAUUAAUUGCUGCUUAAGAACCGGACUGGUGGUUUGGACAAUUAAUAGCCUAAUAAGUGAAGGAGCCUUUCACCUCAGGGUAAGAAAUUCAAAUCCAACCCACAGCAGUAAUCUGGGGAAAUCAUUAGCUCCAGAUGGCUCACCGACAGCCAGAUAAACUGUGGCGGGGACCCUCCUGCCCUCCUUUCUGCAUAAGGCGCCAUGUCAGUACAUCCCCUGUGGCCACAGGGCAUGGGCUGAUCCAGGUGAGAGAACAGCUCCUCAGCCCAGUGUCUGGUGGUGGGGUGAUGCUAAUUUGUUCCCUUUGCUUGAAAUGAACCCUGCACAACUCCGAUGAGGUGGAUGGAGGAGAUCGUGGUUUCAGCCGCCUGUUCAUCUCCCUUGGAAAGUCAAAAGCCAUUUAUCUGGCACACUCAUAUUCAGACCAAAGUCUUACUUCUUAUGCAGCUUAAAUUAAAUUUUAGCUUGGCGUUACUUAUCUUCUGUGGCCCAAAUUAAUCUCUUUCUUUUAGUUAUCUGUAGUAUGAUUGCAGAGAGAAUUCAGUGCUGGUGGAAGUGACUGAAUUCACAGCGAUGGAGAUGGAGACAUCCAUCUCAUGCAGCAGCUGUCUGAAGGACUGCUACAGGACCAUGCACUGCCCUUCAUCUGCUCCCAGGCAGGGCCAGGGAACCUGCUUAUGUCACCCCAUGGAGCAUUUCCCAUAGACAUCAUCUGCAGACGCUGUCAACAACAGCUGACAAUUUCAUUCUUGCAUCUACAAUGCUGGAUGCGUGGGGAUUUAAUGAGAAAUUCAAUCAUCAUCCCAAAGCCUAAACUGUGUUUAAAAUACGUUUCCGCCCUGCCCUGCCAUCUUGCUUCUGUUUAGCGUGUAGACAGCUCUAUGCAGAUGGGAAUCAAACUGGCAGACUCCUCGGUGCCCUCUGCAUCCCUCGACCCAAGUCAGAGCCUUUGCAGCAGGAAAAAAUGCAGGUCUUUGCCUCAAUUUGCAGAGCAGAUUUUUAGAGCAAACCUGUCAUCACCAGUGCCCUAAGCUGAUAAUGUGUAUGGUGAGCACGGGGAGGUUAAGAUGAGGACAUCUGGUUUGUUCUAUUUCUGGUACAAGAACAAUAUCCACCCGUCAAGGGGGGGAGGGCAGAGAGUUCAGCAUGGUGGCAUCUCUAGCCAGCUAAAUACAACUAGGCUCAUGAGUCAGUUGUCUUUCUAGCGUGGCAUCAGACAAAUAUCUGUAGCAUACAAAGGGUCCUUUGUUUCUAUUUUAAGAGCUGUGUGAACAGAGCUAGAAUACUGCAGCUAUUUUCCACUAUGGUUUAUUCCUCCACACAGUUAGAGUCUGCUCUGAUCAGGCAACAAAAUCCCAGGCUUGGAAGAAUCCUCUCUUCAUGAUCAGUAACUUCUGCUGAGAGCAAAGCAAGGUAAAAACAUGAAGGAAAAAAAAAGGAGGAGUUGGUGCGAGCGCAGAGAAAUGAAAAGAGAAAGCAAGCAGAGAAAGCAAUGCAGAAGAAGCCAUGUCAAAAGUCAUAACUGGAAAGGAAGAUAUCAAGAAAUGCAGUUGCAACUCAGAGGAGAGACUGGAAAAAAAAAAA
rnacentral:lncRNA from 1 species